UGGGGAGUGGUGCAAUUGGUAGCACACCGGCUUUUGGUGCCGGGUGUUCCAGGUUCGAGUCCUGGCUCCCCAGCCA
rnacentral:tRNA from 1 species